rnacentral:tRNA from 1 species
UGGGGCGUAGCCAAGUGGCGAAGGCACCGGGUUUUGAUCCCGGCAUUCGUAGGUUCGAGUCCUACCGCCCCAGCCA